rnacentral:rRNA from 1 species
UACAGAGGGGGCAAGCGUUGUUCGGAAUUACUGGGCGUAAAGGGCGCGUAGGCGGCCUUCUAAGUCGAACGUGAAAUCCCCGGGCUCAACCCGGGAACUGCGUCCGAUACUGGAAGGCUUGAAUCCGGGAGAGGGAUGCGGAAUUCCAGGUGUAGCGGUGAAAUGCGUAGAUAUCUGGAGGAACACCGGUGGCGAAGGCGGCGACCUGGGUGGAUACUGACGCUGAGGUGCGAAAGCGUGGGGAGCAAACAGG